rnacentral:rRNA from 1 species
UACAGAGGUGGCAAGCGUUGUUCGGAAUUACUGGGCGUAAAGGGCGCGUAGGCGGCCUUCUAAGUCGAACGUGAAAUCCCCGGGCUCAACCCGGGAACUGCGUCCGAUACUGGAAGGCUUGAAUCCGGGAGAGGGAUGCGGAAUUCCUGGUGUAGCGGUGAAAUGCGCAGAUAUCAGGAGGAACACCGGUGGCGAAGGCGGGUCUCUGGGCCGAUACUGACGCUGAGGAGCGAAAGCGUGGGGAGCGAACAGG